rnacentral:tRNA from 1 species
UAAAAAGUGGUGUAGUGAAGCACGAGGGGUUUUGAUCUCCUUGGGGUAGGUUCAAAUCCUAUUUUUUUAU